rnacentral:rRNA from 1 species
AGUGAACGCUGGCGGCAGGCCUAACACAUGCAAGUCGAACGAGUGGCGGACGGGUGAGUAAUGUAUGGGAAACUGCCUUAUGGUGGGGGGUAACUACUGGAAACUGUAGCUAAUACCGCAUACCAUCGGAUGAGCCGAUAGGGGCUUAGCUAGUGGGUGGGGUAAAGGCGCACAAAGGCGACGAUCCGUAGCUGGUCUGAGAGGAUGAUCAGCCACACGGGAACUGAGAAACGGGCCAGACUCCUACGGGAGGCAGAAGGGGGGAAUAUUGAACAAUGGGCGCAAGCCUGAUGCAGCCAUGCCGCGUGGAUGAAGAAGGCCUGCGGGUUGUAAAGUCCUUUCGGCGGGGAAGCGUUACCCGCAGAAGAAGCACCGGCUAACUCCGUGCCAGCAGCCGCGGUAAUAC